rnacentral:rRNA from 1 species
UACGUAGGUGGCGAGCGUUGUCCGGAUUUACUGGGCGUAAAGGGAGCGUAGGCGGACUUUUAAGUGAGAUGUGAAAUACUCGGGCUCAACUUGAGUGCUGCAUUUCAAACUGGAAGUCUAGAGUGCAGGAGAGGAGAAUGGGAUUCCUAGUGUAGCGGUGAAAUGCGUAGAGAUUAGGAAGAACACCAGUGGCGAAGGCGAUUCUCUGGACUGUAACUGACGCUGAGGCUCGAAAGCGUGGGGAGCAAACAGG